rnacentral:rRNA from 1 species
AGUAACGCGUGGGUAACCUGCCUCACACAGGGGGAUAGCAGUUGGAAACGACUGCUAAUACCGCAUAAGCCCACGGUGCCGCAUGGCACAGAGGGAAAAGGAGCAAUCCGCUUUGAGAUGGCCUCGCGUCCGAUUAGCUAGUUGGUGAGGUAAUGGCCCACCAAGGCGACGAUCGGUAGCCGGACUGAGAGGUUGAACGGCCACAUUGGGACUGAGACACGGCCCAG